rnacentral:rRNA from 1 species
GCAUCAGGUAACAUCAAAUCGUACCCCAAACCGACACAGGUGGUCAGGUAGAGAAUACCAAGGCGCUUGAGAGAACUCGGGUGAAGGAACUAGGCAAAAUGGUGCCGUAACUUCGGGAGAAGGCACGCUGGUGUGUAGGUGAAGUCCCUGCGGAUGGAGCUGAGACCAGUCGAAGAUACCAGCUGGCUGCAACUGUUUAUUAAAAACACAGCACUGUGCAAACACGAAAGUGGACGUAUACGGUGUGACGCCUGCCCGGUGCCGGAAGGUUAAUUGAUGGGGUUAUCCGUAAGGAGAA